AUCUGAUAUAGUUCCUGAUACUUCCAAUUCCUCACCAAUGGUUAUUGGUAAAUGUAGCAAUGCCAGUCUUCUUGAUGUACCAACUUCUAGCGGGACUUCUUUAGCAAUUGAACUUGCUGAAUGUAUUGGUAAUGCUGCAUGUGACUUAACAGCUGAUACGGAUAGUUCAUUGAUGUGCCUUUCUUCCACCGCUGAUGAUGAACCUGAUAUAGUUU